rnacentral:rRNA from 1 species
AUUGAACGCUGGCGGCAUGCCUUACACAUGCAAGUCGAACGGUAACAGGUCUUCGGAUGCUGACGAGUGGCGAACGGGUGAGUAAUACAUCGGAACGUGCCUAGUAGUGGGGGAUAACUACUCGAAAGAGUGGCUAAUACCGCAUGAGAUCUACGGAUGAAAGCAGGGGAUCGCAAGACCUUGUGCUACUAGAGCGGCCGAUGGCAGUUUAGGUAGUUGGUGGGAUAAAAGCUUACCAAGCCGACGAUUUGUAGCUGGUCUGAGAGGACGAUAAGCCACACGGGGACUGAGACACGGCCCAGACUCCUACGGGAGGCAGCAGUGGGGAAUUUUGGACAAUGGGCGCAAGCCUGAUCCAGCAAUGCCGCGUGCAGGAUGAAGGCCUUCGGGUUGUAAACUGCUUUUGUACGGAACGAAACGGUCCGGGUUAAUACCCUGGGCUAAUGACGGUACCGUAAGAAUAAGCACCGGCUAACUACGUGCCAGCAGCCGCCGUAAUAC